rnacentral:rRNA from 1 species
CCUACGGGUGGCAGCAGUGGGGGAUAUUGGACAAUGGGCGAAACCCUGAUCCAGCGACGCCGCGUGUGGGAAGACGGUCCUCUGGAUUGUAAACCACUUUUCACAGGGACGAAGAUGACGGUACCUGGGGAGGAAGCUCCGGCUAACUACGUACCAGCAGCCGCGGUAAUACGUAGGGAGCGAGCGUUUUCCGGAAUUACUGGGGGUAAAGGGAGCGUAGUCGGUGAUGCAAGUUGGGUGUAAAAACUACCGGCUCAACUGGUAGUCGCACUCAAAACUGCAGCUCUUGAGUGAAGUAGAGGCAUGCGGAAUUCCUAGUGUAGCGGUGAAAUGCGUAGAUAUUAGGAGGAACACCAGUGGCGAAGGCGGCCUGCUGGGCUUUUACUGACGCUGAGGCUCGAAAGUGUGGGGAGCAAACAGGAUUAGAUACCCUAGUAGUC